UUUGGGUUGGAGGCGUUCUUCCUGUUUCUCACAUCACUGCACAAGUAUCCUCUGAGGAUGGGGCCCUGCAAACAUGGUGGGGAUAAGGAUGUGAUGAAGAAGCUGAAGGUAAAGACUGAGAAUCCUGGUCCAGGGGAUGCUGCUGCCUACAUUUGAGGUGGGUCUUCCCAGCUCAGUUCAAUAUCUCUGAACCCUCCCUCACAGACAAGCCCUGAUAUUCUAAAUUCUAUCAAGUUGACAAUGAAGAUGAACUGCCUCAGAAGUUAUCUUGAUGUAUCAGAAAUAACCUUGGACAUGGAUUUAUAAUAAAAGGAAAUCUAGUCAGAUGGA